UUUUGACUCUUCGUCUUAUUUGAAAUUUUUUUACGAUUAAUAUUUUUAUUGUUACUAGAUGAUAAAAUAUAAAUAGUACUUUAUGUAUGACUAAUUUUUUAAAAAGUUUUUUAUAAAUUUUUCAAAUAAGACGAAUGAUAAAAG
rnacentral:pre_miRNA from 1 species